AGGCCGCCCAGUGACAGUAACUGUUGGAAUCGCGUGGAACCUUCAUCUGGCCCCUCCACCACCAAGACCUCCAAGACUGCCAGUUGCAACUGCGUUAACAUGGACCAUCCUUACUGUGGCUCGAGUGAUCUUUGGUCUCGUGUACUUCCAGGACUGCCCUCUGCAGCCGAACAUCCCCAAAUCUCUGUUAGGGAUGACGUUCUGCCACCUGUUGAUGAUUUUGUUUGAGACGGUAAAGUGGGAGAAUGAUGCUGCUCGACCACGACAACGUCCCAGAGGUUUCAGACUCUGUUUGCAGUUCUUUUUGAGCCUGCUUGUCAUCAUUUGGGUCUCGUUAGGUAUCGUUUGGGUUUUCUCUAUCUAUCAGCCAAACUACGACCCCUCAGCCGCUGAUGGCCUUUACUGUAAUAAAACCCUGUAUACGUUUGCUUUCUGGAACGCCGUGUUGGAGAUGUUUGGAUUUGGAGUCCUCCUGGUCCGACUCUGCAAAGGAUUGCUGUUCUAUGUGACUCUGAGUCCAGUGGAGACAGAUUUUUACAGCAAUGUCUGAGGUGUUGUGUGACAACCUGUGAAGUUACUGUAAGGUUUUAUUUAGACAAAGACUAAUAUGUGCUUGAAUAAAAGUCUGUUUGCUGUUGAUUGAUACGUUUAAGAACAAUCUUGAUUUUAAUCUCUCAUAAUUAUCAUGUUUGUCUAUUGAACAAAUAGUAGAAACAUAAGAAAAAACAUUGAUCUAACUUUUUUAUUAUUUUGAGGAACAUCAUCAAGGCAAAAGUUGUAAU